AACGAACGCUGGCGGCGCGCCUAAUACAUGCAAGUCGAGCGAGAAGACGUAGCAAUACGUUUGUAAAGCGGCGAACGGGUGAGGAAUACAUGGGUAACCUACCCUCGAGUGGGGAAUAACUAGCCGAAAGGUUAGCUAAUACCGCGUACGCUCCUUGGACUUCGGUUCAGGGAGGAAAGCGAUACCGUGGGUAUCGCGCUCUUGGAUGGGCUCAUGUCCUAUCAGCUUGUUGGUGAGGAACGGCUCACCAAGGCUUCGACGGGUAGCUGGUCUGAGAGGACGAUCAGCCACACUGGCACUGCGACACGGGCCAGACUCCUACGGGAGGCAGCAGUAAGGAAUAUUGCGCAAUGGGCGAAAGCCUGACGCAGCGACGCCGCGUGGGGGAUGAAGGUCUUCGGAUUGUAAACCCCUUUCGGGAGGGAAGAUGGAACGAGCAAUCGUUCGGACGGUACCUCCAGAAGCAGCCACGGCUAACUUCGUGCCAGCAGCCG
rnacentral:rRNA from 1 species